GCUCAUCCAUGAAUGCCAGGAAGGCACAAUAUUGGACCUGAACUGAGGACACUUAGCCUUCCUUCUAGAAGUCUGCAGAUAAAGUUCUGAAACCUGAGGGCACGUACAUUCCAGCAAAACCCAGAACAACAGUGCAUGCAAAAGCUGUUAAAGUGUAAGGAAGGUAAAUUUUAAACUCAGGAAAAUGUUUGCUUGUUUUUCAUAUUUUGGGUCUUACUUAUUUCUUUUGCAUGUAUAUGUGGGUGUGUCGUGACCCCUCGCCAGCAAGGAGACACAACUCAGGAAUCUUCUCUCAGCAGUUUAUUCAGGCCUUUACUCAAGCAUAUCUUCAAGCAUUCUCUCCCCACUUGUGCCUCCCACACUUAAUAAAGCACACCAAGCCCCAAUGCAAAGCCGCCAUGUGGACCUUUCUCAUAGGGUGUUAUACAACGACGCGCCAACUCUCCCUAAUAAGGAGUUGUUUGUCGCAGUCCACGGCGGAAUCCGGCGCCAUCUUGUAAUGGCGACCACGGUCCGCUGAAAUGGCUCACCACAUGUGUGUUUUGUACUUUUCCUCUCUUUUUUAUCUUACCUAUUUCUGAACCUAUUUUAUGUUUUCUCUGACUUGCUAUAAAGCAGCACAAUUGAAACAAAAAUAUUUCAUUCAAUUUUUGGAAGAAUGUUAGAAUAGAUAACAGCACCAGUGAACACAGUGGAGACUCCACAUUUUUGUGUUUUUAAGAGGAAGUAGGAAGUACACCUUUGGUUCUUGUCCUGACUCUUCCCACACGAGGGAGGAAAUGUCCCCUCCUCUGAUACAGCAGUUGUAAUUUAGUCAAACAUAUAGGAAAGGGGGUAGAUUCAUUUUUCUCUAUGACUUUAUUCCCUGGGCAGACCUGGUUGAUGUCUUAAUACUGAUUGACAUUGGGACUGGGAGGAUAGCUCAGUGGUAGAGCAUUUGCCUAGAGUGAGGGAAGCCUUGGGUUUAAUCUCCUGCAUUGCAAAACAACAAAAAACCUGAUGGACAGUUCAACAAAAAUGAUAGCUCACAUGUUCUAGACUAUGUUCCCUGCAUCCAUUAAUCAUUAUUCACAUAUUUACCUUCAUCCCCCUAAACACUUUGGUUGACAGAUAUUGUCAUUCCCAUUUCACAGAUGAGGAAAUGAAGACACAAAGAUGUAAUCACCCUGCUUAGAUAACCAGGAUGUGACAAAAACAGACGGAACCAAGGUGAUAAGAAUUUACAUCUAAAGGGAAACAAUGAAUUACCAGUAUCAAGAAAGUUCAUGAAUACACAAUCAUCUAUCUAUGAAUAUACACAAAAAUGACACCCUUGGACUUUUUCAGUACGAUGUGGCUCAUUUAAAUGGCUUUCAGAUCAACGUUCUUGAAGAUGGGAUUGUCCAUUUGACUCAAAAGAAUUAUCCCUGGAAGGAAGAGUCUUUCUACUCUUUCAAGCACCUAGUAAGCAUAGCUAAGGAAAUAGUAAAAUCCUGUACCAUGGUGUUCAGGCCCCUUACAGAAAAGUAAGGGGACAGUGCUGUGGGAUUAUGUCAAUAAAGUUCUAGGAGACACUGUUUUAUACCACAAAACUUUUAUUCUCAUUAGGCAGGGAUGAUGUGGAAGACUUGUAUCUCUAUGGCAAUAGUAAAUUCAGGACAACGUUUUCCCAGGUUUCAGGACCAGAAAAAGCUGCGUAAACAAUCUGCUUUUAUCUCAUGGUUGCUGUGGAUCAGAUAACUAUUUGUGUUUCCCUUUUUGUUUUGGCUGCUGGGAAGCUCUGGCAAAAUAUUAAUCCCAUCGCUGGAAACUACUUUCACCUCAUAUAUUCUUGUUCUCUAAAUUAUCUCUAAUUUGGUCUCACUUUCCACUCGUGCAUUCUCAUUAGCCCAGUUCAUUAUCUAUUAAUUUCAGAUUUUUUAAUGCCUUAUUUUAUAAACUCUUCAAAUGCUUUAUGGAACAAAGACUAUUUAGGCAAAUAAUUUUUUAAAGCACCAGAUUGUAAUCAUAGCGAAAAUACUGCUAAUUUACUGAACAUUGCUAUGAAUGAGGUACUGUCCUAAGAUUUCAGCUUAUCUUAUUUACCUUAAAUAUAAGUAAUUUUAUAGAUGAGAAAACUGAAGCACACAGAGGUUAAAUAAUUUAUCUAAUAUCACACAGCAAAUAAUUGAUAAAUGCAAGACUCAAACUCAGAUCAUCUGAAUUACAUAACUUAUACAAAAGAAAAAUAAUGUUUAAUUUCUUAAAUAAGUAGAAGCCUUCUGAUUUUGUAGGCCAAGCUCAGCAUUGUUCAGCCCUGAAAGAGAAACCUAUUAUCUAUCUGGUCCAUACAAUCAUGCCAGAUGAUCCAUAUCAACAGAAAGGAUGAGACAGUGAAAGUUGAAAUAAUAGACCAUCCAAAAAAUAACGGACUUUUGAUCUUGGAACACUGUUACAUUCGCUAAUUCAUUCAUUCAACAGCUUGUAGGGAAUAUUCGUCAUCUGCCAGUAGUGGCUCAGGUGCUGGAAAAAGUGGUCAUAUCAUCUUCCCUCCAGGAACCCAAGGGCUAUAAGGGAAAGUCAGGUAGGUUAAGGGCAUCAUGGGAUUAGGAUGCGAAGGCCGACAGGAGACCGGAACAAGGGAUGACAGGAUCAAUUUGAAAGCAGUUUAGCCCUCACCUCUUGGUUCCCUUUAAAACAGAAAUAAGAAUUAGGUCCCUUGUGAUGAUGUUGUACAGUAAGAAGCUCUUAGCCUAGCCCCAGGACCAUUUAGCCAUUAGCUCUUAAGGAUCAGUGGAUGGCAGCCAGGGUCCUUGCUUUGAUAUAUGCAUGCACUCACAUGGACGCCUGUCCCCAGGAACUCAAAAUUCUGGAGCUAGUGUCUGCCUUCUCUCAGCUAACCCUGGAGAUGACUCUAACUUACAGUCCACAGGCAGACCUCUCCUUUGGAUCCACCAUCCUAGAGUCACAGUCUUAUUGGAAUACCUCACCCAGGAUGCCCUGGAACAUCUUCCCCCACACUGCCUGGAUCACAUAAUGCCUGCUCAGUAUUUUUGCCCCAUUUGCUCUAUUUCACCUUAUCUGUUACUGGCACUUGAAUGCUACAGUUCAUUGCACACUGCCUGGCUGCAUAACAGAGGGGGAUUCACCCUUGAACAGUCUGAGAGCCUCCUCAAAUUGCAAAACAGGAGUUCCCAGUGCUUUAGUGGCUGAGGCCAUUGAGAAUGCUUAUGAGCUCCACCUGCUCAGCAUCCGGCAGGGCAACGACUAGUCUCUUUGGUUUUGUGCAGUAGCAAAAUUAGAAGUAAUUAAUCAUUUUCUCACCAACCUGAACUCUUAUUUGAUAGUUCCUGCUACAAGUUUGUUUUGUCAGGCCAUCAGCAAAGUCAGUCAAAUAUUACAAUUCCUUUCUAAAUAUUCUAGCAGCCAGAUGGUAGAAACACUACAGUGACAAGGCAAAACUCUCCAAAAGAUAACUUUGUGAUGCACGAGCACACUUGAUGGCACUUGGCUGAGGGAACUCACCCAGAGAUACUCUAUCAUUGCCCCACUUAACCCAGGAAACCUCUUCAUUCCAGCAUUAAGCCAAGCAUUGAACUCUGCAAUUUGAAACUGGCUGGUAAAACUAAUAUGUUUCUACUUCUCUAAAUUCCAAAUUUUAGGCAGAAGUACAAAAUUAUUAGAAUACACAGCAGGACAGAUUUUUCAGGAUUUCUCACUCAAUGUAAUGUUGCAUACCCUAAAGUUUCAAAUACUUCUGCCCUCCAGUUAAUGUAUAUUUAGAACAUGCUUGUUAGAAAACAAAUGUCCUUCCUUUUGCUCAGUUAUUUUUGUUGAUGUUUAAAACUUUAGCAUUAAUAAUCAUGUAUUCAUAAAUUUCUAAAAUGCAGGAAAAGUUGACUGUUCCUCCCUAGUAAAAAUUCCAUGUUUUCCUCUAGAGUUAAGCCCUUUUUUGGUUUCUCAGAUCUUUUCUAAGUUUCCAGUUUUUUGGUGUGUGUGUGUGUGUGUGUGUGUGUGUGUGUGUGUGUGUGUUGGAGUGACUGCAAAAUCACAACCUGUACUAUAUGAUUUCUGAACAAUAAAUCUCCAAAAAAGA